rnacentral:ncRNA from 1 species
AAGAGCCCUAUGAGAUGAAAAUCUCAUGUACGGUUCUAGAAUGGAGAUUCUUUGAAUUGAAUGACAACCGUAAC